rnacentral:rRNA from 1 species
UCAUAUGUACAUGCCUAUAGUUUUAAUGCACAUGAUCCUAUUAGAACAUCAUAGUUAAUAAUUCUUAGGAUAGAGUAGUACUAGGAUGGGUGACCUCCCAGGAAGUGCUGGUGUUUUCAUGCC